AUUGAACGCUGGCGGCAUGCCUUACACAUGCAAGUCGAACGGUAACAGGUCUUCGGAUGCUGACGAGUGGCGAACGGGUGAGUAAUACAUCGGAACGUGCCCAGACGUGGGGGAUAACGAGGCGAAAGCUUUGCUAAUACCGCAUACGAUCUAAGGAUGAAAGCAGGGGACCGCAAGGCCUUGCGCGUUUGGAGCGGCCGAUGGCAGAUUAGGUAGUUGGUGGGAUAAAAGCUUACCAAGCCGACGAUCUGUAGCUGGUCUGAGAGGACGACCAGCCACACUGGGACUGAGACACGGCCCAGACUCCUACGGGAGGCAGCAGUGGGGAAUUUUGGACAAUGGGCGAAAGCCUGAUCCGGCAAUGCCGCGUGCAGGAUGAAGGCCUUCGGGUUGUAAACUGCUUUUGUACGGAACGAAAAGGCUCUGGCUAAUACCUGGGGCACAUGACGGUACCGUAAGAAUAAGCACCGGCUAACUACGUG
rnacentral:rRNA from 1 species